GCGUAUGCAACCUACCUUAUACAGGAGUAUAGCCCGAAGAAAUUCGGAUUAAUCCUCCAUAGUAUUCUUUAAUGGCAUCAUUUGAAGAAUUAAAGCUUCGGCGGUAUAAGAUGGGCAUGCGUCCUAUUAGCUAGAUGGUAAGGUAAUGGCUUACCAUGGCUACGAUAGGUAGGGGGCCUGAGAGGGUGAUCCCCCACACUGGUACUGAGACACGGACCAGACUCCUACGGGAGGCAGCAGUGAGGAAUAUUGGGCAAUGGAGGCAACUCUGACCCAGCCAUGCCGCGUGCAGGAAGAAUGCCCUAUGGGUUGUAAACUGCUUUUAUUUAGGAAUAAACCCCUUUACGUGUAGAGGGCUGAAUGUACUAAACGAAUAAGCACCGGCUAACUCCGUGCCAGCAGCCGCGGUAAUACGGAGGGUGCAAGCGUUAUCCGGAAUCAUUGGGUUUAAAGGGUCCGCAGGCGGAUGUAUAAGUCAGUGGUGAAAUCCUGCAGCUUAACUGCAGAACUGCCAUUGAUACUGUACAUCUUGAAUUCGGUCGAAGUGGGCGGAAUGUGUAGUGUAGCGGUGAAAUGCAUAGAUAUUACACAGAACACCGAUAGCGAAGGCAGCUCACUAGGCCUGGAUUGACGCUCAGGGACGAAAGCGUGGGGAUCAAACAGGAUUAGAUACCCUGGUAGUCCACGCUGUAAACGAUGAUUACUCGUUUUCGGCGAUAUACAGUCGGAGACUAAGCGAAAGUGAUAAUAAUCCACCUGGGA
rnacentral:rRNA from 1 species